rnacentral:tRNA from 1 species
GGAGAGAUGGCAGAGUGGUCGAAUGCGGCGGUCUUGAAAACCGUUGUACCGAAAGGUACCGGGGGUUCGAAUCCCUCUCUCUCCG